UACGGAAGGUCCGGGCGUUAUCCGGAUUUAUUGGGUUUAAAGGGAGCGCAGGAGGGAGUUUAAGCGUGCCGUGAAAUGUACCGGCUCAACCGGUGAAGUGCGGCGCGAACUGGAUUUCUUGAGUGAGUACGACGUAAGCGGAAUUCGUGGUGUAGCGGUGAAAUGCUUAGAUAUCACGAAGAACCCCGAUUGCGAAGGCAGCUGACGAGUCCUUUACUGACGCUAAAGCUCGAAGGUGCGGGUAUCGAAC
rnacentral:rRNA from 1 species